GACGGAGGGGGCAAGCGUUGUUCGGAAUUAUUGGGCGUAAAGAGCUCGUAGGCGGUUUGUCGCGUCGGCCGUGAAAACUUGGGGCUUAACUCCAAGCUUGCGGUCGAUACGGGCAGACUUGAGUUCGGCAGGGGAGACUGGAAUUCCUGGUGUAGCGGUGAAAUGCGCAGAUAUCAGGAGGAACACCGGUGGCGAAGGCGGGUCUCUGGGCCGACACUGACGCUGAGGAGCGAAAGCGUGGGGAGCGAACAGG
rnacentral:rRNA from 1 species